ACCUGGCUGGCUCAGUUGGUAGAGCAUGGGACUCUUGAUCUUGGGGUCAUGGGUUCAAGUCCCACAUUGAGUG
rnacentral:tRNA from 1 species